GCCCGGGUGGUGGAAUUGGUAGACACAAGGGACUUAAAAUCCCUCGGCCGCAAGGCUGUGCCGGUUCAAGUCCGGCCCCGGGCACCA
rnacentral:tRNA from 1 species